rnacentral:lncRNA from 1 species
UGCGCCAGCAUAAGAAUAUACAUAUAAUAGCUAUGAAAAUUUUGAGAAUAAAAAAAUGAAAUGGGUAAUUCAAUUGUUUGGGGCUUCCAUUCGAGCAGUGAUAGUUGAACUAACCAGACUCCCCAGAUGCCCUUCCCUCCUCUAUUAUGGAUUGGUCGAGCUACUUCGCGUCAGCCUUCUAACCUCUAUUAUGGAUUGGUCGAGCUACUUCGUUUAUAUAAAACAAUAUUAUGAGUCAUUCUAUUAUUGCUCACAACAGGUAUUGAUACCAUGACA